rnacentral:sRNA from 1 species
GUAAAAUUUAUUUAUGGGUCCGCUACUGCUCGUUCUUGCCUAUAAAUGU